rnacentral:tRNA from 1 species
UCCCUGGUGGCUCAGAGGUUAAAGCAUCUGCCUGCAAUGCAGGAGACCUAGGUUCGAUCCCAGGGUUGGGAA